AUGAACGCUGGCGGCGUGCCUAAUACAUGCAAGUCGAGCGCACAGACGAGGAGCUUGCUCCUCUGACGUUAGCGGCGGACGGGUGAGUAACACGUGGAUAACCUACCUAUAAGACUGGGAUAACUUCGGGAAACCGGAGCUAAUACCGGAUAAUAUAUUGUACCGCAUGGUUCAAUAGUGAAAGACGGUUUUGCUGUCACUUAUAGAUGGAUCCGCGCCGCAUUAGCUAGUUGGUAAGGUAACGGCUUACCAAGGCAACGAUGCGCAGCCGACCUGAGAGGGUGAUCGGCCACACUGGAACUGAGACACGGUCCAGACUCCUACGGGAGGCAGCAGUAGGGAAUCUUCCGCAAUGGGCGAAAGCCUGACGGAGCAACGCCGCGUGAGUGAUGAAGGUCUUCGGAUCGUAAAACUCUGUUAUUAGGGAAGAACAAAUGUGUAAGUAACUAUGCACGUCUUGACGGUACCUAAUCAGAAAGCCACGGCUAACUACGUG
rnacentral:rRNA from 1 species